CCGACCGCAUCUCUUCUUCUUCGUCUCCUCUCCCGGACAGCAGCAGUCUCUCGCCGGCGCGUUGAGUAGAAACCCUAAAAAAUCCCGUCUCCUCCUUUCGCCCGCGGAGCCCUCCCCUCGCCGGGGGUAGGGCUAAGGGGUUUCCGCCCGCCAUGGACGCCAUGCGGAAGCAGCUGGACGUGCUCAUGGGCGCCAACCGCAACGGCGACGUGGAGGAGGUCAACCGGAACUACUACGACCGCGACGUCUGCCGCCUCUUCCUCGCGGGUCUAUGCCCGCACGACCUAUUCCAGCUCACGAAAAUGGAUCUCGGACCUUGUUCGAAGAUUCACUCGCUUCAGCUACGGAAAGACUAUGAAGAAGCAAAAUCAAAGGGAUCAGAGAAUUUUGAUAGAGAGCUUGAGGAUAUGAUAGAAAGGCUCAUCGUGGAGUGUGAUAGGAAAAUUCAAAGGGCCCUGAAACGGCUUGCGGAUGAGGAUGCCAAGGCUGCUAUUGCAAUAUCUGUGUCUGAGGUUACUCUGACAGAUGAGAUACUGCAGCUGUCAAAACAAAUCAAGGAGAAAAUGAAAGAAGUUGAUACUUUUGAUUUUGAGGGGAGAACUGAUGAUAAAAUAAAGGCCCAGGAAGUGGUGGAAGAACUGAGAGCUAAAAGGGCUGAUAUGCAGGCUACCCUCUUGCUUGAUGCUUUUAACAAGGACAGAGCUUCAUUACCUACACCUGCUCCACCUCCUCAAGUAGCAGCAGUGCCACCACCUCCUCCUCCUGAUGCUCGUACUCAAGAAAUGAUUAAUGAAAAGCUUAAGAAAGCUGAAGAGCUUGGUGAACAAGGCAUGGUAGACGAAGCUCAGAAAGCUUUGGAAGAGGCAGAAGCUCUGAAAAAGCUGGCGCCACGGCCGGAGCCACCUUCAGAUCCUACUAAAUAUACAGCUGCUGAUGUUAGAAUUACGGAUCAAAAAUUACGCCUCUGUGACAUAUGUGGUGCAUUUCUGAGUGUAUAUGACAAUGAUCGACGUCUUGCUGACCAUUUUGGAGGGAAGCUACACUUGGGCUACAUGCUGAUUCGUGAAAAACUGAAAGAACUUCAGGUGCUGAGUGUAAUGUACCAUUUUCUGCUUUAAAGAGUUACUCUGUUUUGGGCCUUUUGGCAUCUGUGAGUUUUCUUAUCUCAAGAGCCUCAAGGUUCUCACCUUCCCUAUAUAUUAUUUCAUUACUCACAUUGGAGGGCAGUUUGGUUAUUACGCUAGUCAUUACAGGAAUUAGUCCAUGUUGCGUGCAUGUGACAAUCAUCUUCACACCCAUGGCAACAACAGUCACUGUCUCUUGAGAAAUGUAAGCAUAGGAGCAUGCAGAACAUGGUAUGAUGAAUCAUGUUUACUUAAUUGUGACAAACUGCUCAUGUGCUCUGCUUAGUAUUAUGUUGAGCAGAAGCUGGAGGUUGCUUUUCUACUGGUGAGCCAUAUUAUAUAGAUCUGGUGAUAAAUAUUACUGGUUAAGUUAUCCUGAAAGCACGUCCUUUUGCCAACAUUUGCUGUAAGUGACAACUUGUUCUGCUGUUUAUCUGCUACCUGCUCCACAAAUGUGUAAGAUUAUUUUUGCUGAAGCAGCCUUGCCUGUAAUGUAUCACUUGCCUUUUCUUUUGGAACAUUUGUCUCUUAUUUUUAAGUAUACCAAAAUAUCAUCAUUUUUACUGUCAUAAAAUACACUAUGCCAUCUUCCAGGAGCUGAGAAAUAAAAGAAGGAAGGACAAAUCUGAAGAUGAUAGACGAUCAAGAGAGCACAGCAAGGACCACAACAGUCGGGCAUCAAGGGAUAGAGAUACAGAAAGAAAAGACAGGAUUGACUCUCGAGAUGGUAGAAGAGGAGAUUAUGAUAGGGAUCGUGAUAGACGUCAUGAUAGGGAUCGUCGCCAUGACCGUGAUCGGGAUAGAGAU